GACGAACGCUGGCGGCGUGCUUAACACAUGCAAGUCGUACGGUAAGGCCCUUUCGGGGGUACACGAGUGGCGAACGGGUGAGUAACACGUGAGUAACCUGCCCACAACUUUGGGAUAACGCUAGGAAACUGGUGCUAAUACUGGAUAUGUGCUCCUGCUGCAUGGUGGGGGUUGGAAAGCUCCGGCGGUUGUGGAUGGACUCGCGGCCUAUCAGCUUGUUGGUGGGGUAGUGGCCUACCAAGGCGGCGACGGGUAGCCGGCCUGAGAGGGUGACCGGCCACAUUGGGACUGAGAUACGGCCCAGACUCCUACGGGAGGCAGCAGUGGGGAAUAUUGCACAAUGGGCGCAAGCCUGAUGCAGCAACGCCGCGUGCGGGAUGACGGCCUUCGGGUUGUAAACCGCUUUCAGCAGGGACGAAGCUUUUUGUGACGGUACCUGCAGAAGAAGAACCGGCUAACUACGUG
rnacentral:rRNA from 1 species